UUCCCAUACGGGUUGAAGCAUGACCGUAAGGACAUGUGGACAGUAUGGGAGUGAGAAUGUUGGCAUGAGUAGCGAGAUGUGGGUGAGAAUCCCCCAGGCCGUAAACCCAAGGUUUCCAGGGGAAGGUUCGUCCGCCCUGGGUUAGUCGGGACCUAAGCUGAGGCCGAAAGGCGUAGGUGAUGGACAACAGGUUGAUAUUCCUGU
rnacentral:rRNA from 1 species